CCUACGGGUGGCUGCAGUAAGGAAUAUUGGUCAAUGGACGGAAGUCUGAACCAGCCAUGCCGCGUGCAGGAAGACGGUCCUCUGGAUUGUAAACUGCUUUUGUUAGGGAAGAAACUUCCGUACGUGUACGGGACUGACGGUACCUAAAGAAUAAGGAUCGGCUAACUCCGUGCCAGCAGCCGCGGUAAUACGGAGGAUCCAAGCGUUAUCCGGAUUUAUUGGGUUUAAAGGGUGCGUAGGCGGCGUUGUAAGUCAGUGGUGAAAGUUUGCAGCUU
rnacentral:rRNA from 1 species